rnacentral:lncRNA from 1 species
AUUUAUGAAUUCAGUCUUAAGCUAUGGUGGUGAUAUUCUAAAGAUCCUUUGCCAAAGUCGAUUUUGGUGUACUCUGUUGAGGAAAAAGGAAUUCAGAGACAAUGUCAUAGUUUACAACAGAAGAUGUAAAUUACUACUGGUGUCUGUAAUCUGAUGAGUUUUCCUGUAUAUUACCCUUUUAGUCAGUUUAUUUAUGGUAACCCUGGCUCAUUAAUUAGAAAGUGGUGCUCUCUGUUAUACCUAUAGCACUCGCUGCUUUCUGAAAACAAGGCCAACUUGGACGCUGAUGGAAUUUAUCACAUGCUACAAAAGCAUUAUUAAUUAAAGUAGAAACAAAGAAUGAACUAGAUAAGAAUGCCUGAUUAAUGAGACUUUCGAGUUUGGAUAUCAAUAAAGGAAGACAACGAAGAUUGUGAUCAAUCUGUAUUAUUUGUUGGCUUUUUGGUGCUGCAUCCUUGAAUUUUCAGAUAUUGUAUUGCAUUUAUGGGUAAUAGAUUCUGAAGGUUAAAUUGAAAUAGCAUUACAUGCUACUGAGAUGAGCUUUUCUCUUUGCAGGUCAGUGUGGGUACUCUUCUUGCCUUUACCAUGGUAGCAAUUUCUGUGCUGAUUCUUAGAUAUGUCCCCCCAGACGUGGUGCCCCUUCCAUCAUCUCUCCAGGAGUCAAUUGAUGCUUAUAGUGAUGCACAAGAGAGCAGUGGGAUCAUUUCUCAAGUUUCUGGUGGCUCAUCUAAGGACAGUACUCAGCCUUUAUUAGGCAAAAAGGACGCAUCGAUCGACUAUCCUAUUAUCGUGGAAAAAGUGCAAGGUAUUGCUAUUUCAAAUGCAAUGUUAUACUCUUGCAUGAUGAGGUGAAGUAGGGUGAUUGUACAUUGAAGGUGGUUCUAUCAGACAUUUAGUUACCUCAGAACCACAAAAAAUUUUAAUGCCUUGUUUCUACCACUUUGUCCCAAGCCUCAUCCAUUAGCUCCAUCUCUCCAUGCAGACAUCUUGACAGAAAAGAACAGGCGAAAAAUUGCUGGCUGGACUAUAAUGUUCACGUGCAUUGGGGCUUUUCUUCUCACUUAUGCAGCUUCAAGUUUGGGACUUCCCAGGUGGGUAUAUGGAAAAAAUGCUUGCAGACACUUGUGGGAUGUCACUUAUUUUUCUAAUUCCAAAGGAGCUCUCUUAUGCUUAAUCUGUAUUAUGAAAUAAGGAGUUUAAGCAAUAUAUGGCUUGGCCUCAAGUGUGAGGCCAGGUGGUGUAAAUGGGAUAAAAAAAAUUGUCUUCGCCUAAAGCUCCAUGCACUGAAGACAGCAGAUUUUGAUGCUCAAAUUUUAUCAAAAAUAAAUAAUUAUAAAACAAACUUUUUCUACAAUAUAUAGAUGCUGCCUCUCCCUCCCUCCCCCCCUCUCUCUCUCCCCCCCCCUUUUGCUUUCUAUCUGAUUACCUUCUUAAUUCUGUUACUUUCCUUCUCAGCUUUCUUCGCUUCUCCGUGUGUGGUGUUGGUGGCACUUUCCUUUUGUCUGGUCUCAUUGUGCUGACUUGCAUCGAUCAAGAUGAGAGGAGGCACAAGUUUGGCCAUGCAGGAGGUAUGUUAUCUGAGUACAGUUUAGCAAGUAUGUUAGAUUCUUUUCCAAGUGUUAUGUUCUCCUGCAUGUUCUCGUCCUUUUUGGUUGCAUCUCAAUGGCAUCUGUGUGGAGUCGGACCUUGAAUGGUAACUUGUCAGGCAUAAUCCUUUAUUUACACGUAGGUUGUGCAAAAACUGCUUUUCCUUAGGUUGUAUUCUUGUGCAGUGUGAUGUAAAAAGGACUGGAAAGUGAAAUCUGAUUAAAAGAGGAAAAUCAACUUUAAUUGAUAUCAACACGAAUUGCUGACAAUAUGUAUUGUUGCAGAAGCAUGAAGACCUGGGAAUGACUCAGGUUCAAUUUGAGUCGAUACCAAAAUCACAAUUUUAUUGUCCUCGUGCCUCCAACUUAAUACUAAUAAUUUUCAGCAUUUGCAAAUUUUGCUUUACCUGUGAUAUCUUAUAAAGGCUGGAGGAUAAUGGGUUCAUUUUUGUCUCAUUUGAAAUUUCUUUGGUUCAACGAAGAUGCAUCAUCAUUUCCUCAGUGGUGUUUGAUGGUGUAACAAUCUAGUCCCGUUUAUUUUCUCUAUUCCUGAGGUUUGGUUGCCAAGUGGACACAGAAUUUUGACGCAUGGUACUGAUCACAUCAACUCGAUAUUAUUUCAGGUUUCAUCUGCCCAUUUGUUCCUCUUUUGCCUAUUACCUGCAUUCUGAUCAACCUUUAUCUGCUGAUUAAUCUCGGGUGAGUCUUUUAAUCCACAACAUGCUUAUAGUGCGAACUUUGUCAACCUUGUCUACAUUAUUUUACCAUUGGAUUGAAGCUUUAAUUUUUUGGGGUAUUAAUUAGACGACCUAAUAAAGUCGAGGUGGCGCAUAAUUUGUAAUAUCUCAUUAGAAGCAGUCUCUGUGUUGUCAUUUUUCUCCUUUAAUGACCUUGAUCGUAUAGAUGUGCCUCUUUCAUCUUUGCAACAACAGGGCUGCCACGUGGGCUCGUGUCUCUGUAUGGCUGAUAGUUGGGGUGCUCGUGUAUGUGUUCUAUGGACGGACUCACAGCUCUUUGGUGGAUGCCGUGUAUGUGCCAGCAGAUCAUGCUGAGGAAAUUUACCGCAGUUCUGGAGACUCAUUGGCUUAAAUCUUCUGGGCGUAGAAUAUUGUAUGUGAUAAAGCUUGCUAGGUGAAAUUCCUCUGGGCAAUUCGUGUGUCUUUCUGUUGUAUUCUAUGCAUGAAAUUCAAUCAAUAUUUCUGUAGAGAGACUCGUAGGAGUCAUGUUUGUGUAGUAGAUCACGGAACAAAUGUUCCACAAAAGUUAGGCAUGUAAAUAUCUUUAAACUUAUUCUUUGAGUAAUGUAAGUAUAUGUAUUCCUCGUUCCCUCACAUUGCUGUAUCCUCAGUUCUCACUGAACUUGCAUUAUGAUUAGGAGCCUUUCCAGGUACCUCGCCGUCCUUGGAUUCUAUUGCGUUCGGCAAUGUUGUUCUUUUUUUAUCUGUUUUAAUGGCUUGAUGGGAAGGAUCUUCGUCGCCCUGUAGAUGAUUGUAAAAUACAAAUUGAAUUUUGGAAAGGGUAAAGCGACCACCCGUAGGUGACGAGGUCACAUGGAAUUACUCCUGUAGUGCUUUUUGCUAUGAAAAAAUAUACCUGAAACAAGACGAGCGAAGGUUUGAAUUCAAGCCUUGGAGAGAGGGAUCUCGAAGUAGGAAACCUUUUCUACGGAAGGGAAGCAACUGACUGCCCCCAUGUUCAUUAAUAUACAUGUUGGUCCGGUAAUUAUGUCCUUUUACCGUUUAAUUGCGAUUAAUAAAUUCGUGCGAAUAAAAGAUAAGAGAUGUAAGUUGUACUAUGUGACUUGUGAGCUAUGUCGUACGAGUUUUGAAGAGCUAAAAUGCAACUCAUGCGCUUCUCUUUUAACAAGUGAUAUGCUCGACUGACCUCCCACAAACUGGUAUUCCCACGUAUGCACCGCAAAUCAGAAACAACAUUAGGUCAUGCAGAGAAGCAGCUUGACGACUAAAGUCUCGUUUGGUUCAGCUAAGUUCCCGUUUAGUUCGGCUUUAACUAACGUCUCAUUUAGUUCGGCUUUCUCAAGGGAUUGAGAAAAAUAUGAGGCAUUUGGCAAGUGCUUUUAAAACCCUAUUAGUAAAAUGUCAGCAAUGUUGAAAGCUCAAAACAAGUAGGAACCUGCUUUACACUUUGAGUGUUGUCGGGAUGUUAUUUUGAGGAUUUAAUGGCCCUUUUUUCUUUUGAAUAUUGCCCUCACUAAUAACUGUGCGUUCUCCUUAUGCCCUAAAAAAUCACUGUUCAUCUUUUUCCUUGGGCUUGCUGGUUCGUCAUUGAGGAGAGGUCGUGGUCGAGGUCGCCUAUCAUUAAGGUCGAGAUCGAGGGUUGCACGUGUCAUUGAGCCGCUCGCCGGAGCUACUAUGGGGUCGAGGUGGUUGAGGAUCAAGUGACCCAGAUCUGCCCUUCGACUGCGGCCGUGCGAACUCGAUGUCGCGCAUCCUCGCCAGAGAGGUCCUUGUCGAGGUUGAGAUUGAGGGUUGCACGCGUCAUCAAGCCACCCGCUGUAGCUUAAGGGGUUAAGCCGCCAGAUCUGUAAUCACGUGCUCUUCACCUUGCUGAUGUUGCAAACAUCAUGGUUGCAAAUCCUUGGCAUCGCCCAACCCCGCUGCCUCUGCCAUUACUCGCUCUGAUCUGUUUUUUUUUUUUACUUGAGAGUUGCUUUAUAAAAUAAAUACCCAAGUAAGGUUUUGCUGCAAUGACCACCUUUCAACUUGAAAGGGAGAAACUCUAUAUUUGAGGUAUGAAUUUCGAUUUUCAUAUAUUGUAAAGAAACAUGGCAAAAGUCUAACAGUAAGCAUUAUAAUAAAAAUCGAGUAGAACUAAUAAAAAAAUAAAACAUAAACACCGAAUUGAGUUAUCUUUUACAAAAAAAAAAACACUGAAGUGAGUUAUUCAAACAUUAAUAUUUUCAUCAAAUAAUCAUUCUGUUCGAAGAUACUUGAGAAAAUACAAAACUAUUCUCCCAAAGUUAAACUAAAUGGACCCUAAACCGCUAAAUCUGCCUCAAAAUGCAAUGGGAGAGGCCACGAUUAUGGAAGCCUGACUUGUCUUACUCCGUAAUGUGUGCCUUUCUACUUUUUAUUACAUGUAUCUAUGUAUAUCAACAGCGGGCAAUCUUUGAACGGCAAAUGUCCGUACUCACAUCAAAUCUUCCUUAAAGACGAGAGUGAUGCCCAGGACAUUGCAGAAAACAUUGUACCACGCUUAAUGUCAAUGUGGCAGUUAGAAAACCAUUCAUUGAAGCUUUCUGGAUAGGCUGUAUAACCACUCUUCCCGAUGGCCAGAAGGCGAUCAAGCACAAUUUAUCAAUAAGACAAGGAAGAUGAGAUGUUCAUAGGGAUUUCUGCACAAAGCUUGAACUAGUCAAAAAGAUGACAAAAUGAUAAGAAAAAGAGACCUUAAACAAGAGAGCAGGCGCUCCUGAGAACUAAAAUUUGCAAACAUCUCCAUCACGACUCUGCAUCCUGGCAAUCGUUUGCCAAACUCUGAAUUGAAGUCCAUAAAGCCAAAAUCAAUUUACACUUGUCUCCCCUCUGUUCAAUAGCAGAAUCCACUGUUGCAGAACCCAAGCAUCCUCAGCCAAAAGUUGCAAUCAGAAAAGCUUUAUAUAUGCUCAUGAACUUGGCUAUAAAUGCUGCACGAGUAAAGUAGAGUGUGUUAAUCAGAAGGCAAUGCAUUCCCCUCUGAACAAGCAAAAAACACCAAUUGGAUUAUAGUCCUCCAUUUUGGCGUCGAAAUUUGAAUUUUUGCUCAUCUUUUCACGCCGUUCAUGCAAUCACAGAGAAGACUCCCAAGCAAGCCCCAAACUCAGCCAGCCACCAUGGAGAGAAAAGCUCCCAAAGCAAAGUAAAAGAAGAAAGCGACUUAGUCUUGUGAUACUUUGACAAAGAAAGGCAUACCUUCAAGAUGGAAUAUGGCCUUCUGUCCGAGCCUCAUCCUAUGUUCCUGUUCAUGGAUGAUGGAAUGAAGGAUUACCAAAAUUUGGAAGCAAGAAACACUAGUAUAUCUUUAAUAUCUUUAUUACAUUAUCCCAGCGUCAUAUUCUUUAGGUGGCAAUCACAAAAUUAGAAGACUUAGGCAAAGCGACUCCAAUUAGGCUGGCCCAACAUAAAGUCGAAUUUAUGAAGACUUACAUAGUAGGCUGCCCAGUGGCAGACCUCAUGCUUUAAUUCUGCAUCUAGUUUUCCCAGUAAAUCAUGCAGCAGCCUCUGCAAGGAAACAGGAGUAGCACUUUUACCUUCAGAAGGAUUUCUGGAGGAAUGCACUUGAUGAGCAACUCAUAAAGUUUCCCUCUAACCUGGAAUAGCCUAAAGAAUAAGAACAGCAGGUGUUUAGCCACAGCUCAUUUCCAUCAUGACAAGCAUAUUUCCAUGAAAUGCAGUGGGCAAAGCUCCACACACAUGCACAGAGAUACAUACACACAAGUAAGAACAGAAAAGAGAUUAUAUUGUCUGCAUCAUGAAAUGAUAUUCUAAGUCCUGAUGCAGCUCAGCAUAUGCACCCAAAGUUAUCCAAAAACUUCUGGACGUUUUACUCGUUAUAUAAGUUUAGGAAUUCUUAAAAUUAACAACUAACAUCAGAUCACUACAUACACAAGAGAGAUUCUUUUCAAUUUGCUAUAUUGAAUCGAGGCAUUUGAAAGAUAAAACACUAAGGAAUGCUAAAGGUUGACUUCAAGCAACACAUGAAAAACCUUGUAAAGGUAGAAUGCCAAACACUUUUAACCUUUUUGGGCUCUGUUCCUUCAUAAUGUCAGAUACUAUCUCAGAAACGUACUCCUCCCAAUCCAUCGGAGAUAUCACUUGGUUUAUGGUGAAAGGGUACCUAAAUCCAUUGUUACAACAGAAAGAACUAUCAGUUAGUGUUUCUCCAAUAUGGCCAAAAGAAUCAAGCAUGAAUAGAUGAACCAGAAUAAACUCCAAGGCACUGCAAUUGAACAACAGUCCUAGGAUCUUACUGCUGUACACGACAAGUCUCAAAGGAAAGUAUCGCUCUUCUUAAACUGCGAUUUGAUUUUUCUGCGACGCGAGCGGCAAAUCCAGCAGGAAGUUGCAGAUUUUCCUUCUUCGCAAUAAAUUCUAAUACCUUAACAAUCUGACAGAAAAUUUGAAUAUAUAAGAGUCCAUAAAUUGACAAUGUCCGCACAACAAUCAAGCAGAUAAUGUAGCUGCAGACAAUCUCACUUGAAAAAUCUGCAAUCUUUCAGAUGGGCAGUAUAUAAGCAGAACCAAUGAUGUAUGCAGUAAGUUGGAAGAGAAAAAUAAACCUAGAAGUGAUGCAAUGCUACCAGCAUUCUCAACUCGAAAUAUGGCCCCACAAGAUAGAAGUGUACAACCUAAACUACAAAUGUCAGCGCAUUAUGAAAAACCUCCUCAAGAACAAUAGUCUAUCAUCCACGCGCUUUUAGUAUGAGCGUUCCUCUAUUGUCACAACAGAAGAUGUUCUGAUGCAUUAUACUCUGUGAUUUUGUUAAUUAGAGAAUCACAUCAUGUGCAAAAAGAAGCGUACGGUACGAAUGCAGGAUGCACGAGAAGAAAAUGGACAGGCAGUGACUGAAAGUCACAAUCACCUGCCAGCAUAUGACUCAAUCCUACCAUCUGAUGUUUGAUAUAAAAGGAUUAACCCGACCUACUAGUUGCCAGCCCAAAGAAAAAGAACAGAUCCUGAUAGGAUCCACAUCCAUGCCACAGGGUCUAUAACAGUUCCCUCUUUCAGAAAGGACUCCAUAUUAAAUACGUAGGCAUCGACUCUAUCCACUUAUCUUUUGUACCGCUGAACAAAAAUAAUUAUCUGCAUACUAAAAGCACUAAAAAAGCCCCUAACCUGAUCUUCUCGUGGUGCAUUUAUUCGUAUAUUCAGACAGCGAGAACGAAUGGCUUCAGUAACUUUUGAUGAGCUGUUGCAGCAAAGGAUCAGUCGGCAUGAUGCACUAUACUUCUCCAUCGUCCUCCUUAGAGAAUGUUGAGCUUCUCUUGAGAGUUUGUCAACCUCAUUAAGCACCAGAACUGCCACACGAUAAAAAAUUAUAUCUUAUAAUUUAGGUUUCAGUUCAUCCUUAUAGAGCAUGUUAAUCUCCAAAAAGAACAAGGUCAUCAGAUAUAUGAUUAUACCCAAGGGAACAAAUAUUGGAACUAGAAUUCCAUAAGUUUCUGAAAGUACAAACAUUUAAAAGAAAGAUAUCAAGUCGUGCCAAUAGAGGAAAACACUAUGUCCCAUAUGAUACUAAAAAAUACCAGAGACUUCGAGAAUUCCCCAUAAUCCAUCAGAGAAAAACUUCUUGAAAGUUAUGUUUGCUUUAUAUUUCGAUCAAACUAAAUUUUAUAUAGUCAAUUUUAUGUUGUUCAACUCAAAACACUCGAAUAAUGCCAGACAUCAUUAAACUACUCAUUCCUAGAUUGGAACUGAAAAGUCUCUUUUUUCAGCUCCUUUAAGAAGCCAUAAACUCAUCAAAGACAAACAACAUGAUUAAAAGCCCCUUACUCACAAUCAAUAUCAAUGUAACAGCCUUAGAUGUCAAUUGCAACAAAUGAGAAUUCCAUAUAUCAUCUUCUAUUGAGGCAAAACUUCUCUUGGUCAUCAAGUUAUACACAGCUUAUAUGGCAUAUAUUGCUCUUAGAAGCCGAACAAAAUUCUGGAGUGCAAUGAGCUAACGUAAAGCUCACCUUAGUUUUACAGGAUUGUGGAUAAUAUCAUAUAGGAAGUGCCAAGAGAUGAGAAAUACUAAGAUUUGGAAAAGCAAUAUCACCUUUGAAUCUCUUUUUCCCUUUCGUGUCUAUUGGUCUGUUUUUGGCCAUUUCUUUAAUAAUCUCCUGAACAACGUAACGGUCCUGAAAGCCGGCAUCACUCGGGUUCAUUUCAACAUGAUGGGUACUUGAUAAUGUGGUCAACUCUAUAUCAAUAUUUCUCAUUCUAGCUCGCAUUAAAAGGACAAUGGUCACUUCGGGUGACAACGGUCACUUAUUUGAGAAAAUAUGUUCAUUUUGGGUUUUUAUUUAAAAUUUUCCCUAUCUUCAUGAGAUAAACAAUAGCAUGAGAAAUGUGUUCACUAGGAGUGUGCAUGGUCCAAGUGGACGGUUCCUGACUUAGAAUCGGGAAUCGGACCGUCGGUCUAGUCCAAUUUCUGGGUGGAUCCAAAGAACCGGUCCAACCUCCACGCCUUCCCCUUUUCUCCCUCCUCACAUCUACUUAUUCUGUGGUUGUUUUAUUCUCCUCAAGUACUAGCGUCGCGACAGUAGCAGUUGCAACUCUCGCGGUGCUUCUAUCCCGACCACCACCACCAUCUUCGCCACCGCCUUCGCUGUUCCCGCUCCUCCCUUGAGACCGACAAUGAGGAGGACAAUGUGGACGAUGAGCCAUUCUUAAACUUGGAGUUCGCCCCUGUGCUCGAAAAUGAGGAUGAUGGGGGGAGGCCUGAGGAGGGAGAUGAGGAAGAGGGGAGGUAGAAGCGGGAUGAACCCAACAACGAAGAGGAAAAUAGUGACAGUGAAUGCGGAGAUGGCGACGAUAUGGAGAGAGAGUUCAAGUUCGAGGCGGGGAAAGAGAAUCAACUCACUAUUUUGAUGAGUUCGAACUAGGACUCGAAGGAAUAUGAGUAGAUCCGAAAGUAAAUUAAGGUGGAAGAGGGACCUUGAGGAGAUUUUGAAUUAAGAGAGACGAGAUGGAGUAAGAGAGUGUGAAUUGAGAUAAGAUGGUUAUUGAAACCUUAAAAUUUAGAUUUGCUAAUUUCGAUUUUUUUAAAUAUUAAAAAUUAAUAUAAUAUUAUAAUAAAACCGAUCUAAGUGGUCGGGUGGAUGCACCUAUCUAUGGAACCGGGAACUGGAUUUCAUAAAUUGAAAACGGGAACCAGUUUUUUUUAAGAACCCGGGGGUUCCGGUCCGGUUCCGCCGGGCAGGACAACCUGCGCGCGAAUAAUUGUCGUUGGCCGCGGACAUGUCCUCUCCCAUCUCACGUCACGUCGAAGACAGAGACCUUAAAACGAGAAGCAGCUCCCUCCUCUGUUCUCUCUGUCCUUCGCAAUCCAUCAGCCCGCUUUCCCCUCUCGAAGCCAUCGGUCUCUUCGGGCGCCGAAAAUUCGUCGCGCGCUUCGCAGGGGAACGCGGGCGCCUCCGUCCCGUAGCUCGUCUCGUGAUCGAAUUCGGGCGACGUCCGCUUUGACGCGUUUCUGAAGAUUACGCCGAGGGUGGGGACGGGGUUGGUGUUGAUAUAUAUAUAUAUAUAUUUUUUGGCUGUUGUGGUUGAAUUUGGGGUCUAUAAGAGCUUCGAUUCGUCGCCCUGUCGUGAAGGGAAUUGAGAAUUCAUUUGGAUUCUCGGUUUGAUGGGUAUUCUGGGCGGUUCCCAAAAGAUGGGUGGGUGCGGAUCACCGUCGGGGGGUUGGGCGAAGGGCUUGGUGAGGAGGAAGCAGGUCGAUUCGGCUCGCUCCAGGUCCGGUGGAGGGGGGCAUCAUCAAUUGGCCAAGGAGUUGUCGAUUCUCCACCUCAUCGCCAUUGGUAAAUGAUGAAUUAAGCUGAAGUUCUCUCCUUUAUUGUUGGGUUUUCGUUUUGUUGGUACGAGCGGAGCUGUGGUUUGGUUUUUUGGUCCGUUUUGCGUGGUUGAUGAUGAAGAAAUUGUUUGUUAACGCGUGUUAUGCGUUCCAAUUAGCUGUUGGAACUGGAAAGCUUCGUUUUUUAUGAGAUUAUGCUGAUCAAACUCGGCAUCCCCUGCUUCUUCCAGAAACUGAAACUGGUACUCCCUCCCCUCGUGAUGGAGUUUUUGGAGUUCAUUUUCAUGGUGCUUUUUGAGCUUGAAGUUGAAUUGCUCUUCAGAUUUCUUCUUCAUGGACCGAUUUACUUUUUGUUAUUCGUUUUAUGAUUGGAAGGCCCGGUGGUUCUUGAUUUGCUACGAAGGAUUUAAUUGCUGGUGCUCGGUUCUUGUUUUGGUUUAGCAGUCACUGAACUUAGCAUUGAGUGUGUCUUUUCCCUGCACAUGACGACACCUCUUAGAUAAUUGUUUUGGCCAAUUCCUUUAGCUUCAUUCCUAUUUAUUAUCGAAAGUCACAGUGGCUUACUUUGGGCUUUAUGGUUUGGUAAGGGGUCGGAUCUACUAUUGGAGCUGGAGUUUACAUCCUUGUUGGGACCGUUGCUAGAGAGCAUUCUGGACCGGCUCUCGCCUUCUCAUUUCUAAUAGCUGGGAUUGCAGCAGCUCUUUCAGCCUUCUGUUAUGCGGAGCUUGCAAGCCGUUGUCCCUCUGCUGGGAGUGCUUAUCAUUAUUCAUACAUAUGUGUUGGAGAAGGGUAAUACUUUGUAGAGCUUUUAUAAGAAUUAUUCAGGUCGGGGACAAUCUGUAAUUGAGGCUGUGCUUGAUUAGUGAUUUCUCUUUUCAUCUUUUCUGCAUUAUGAUGAUCAACAUUUUGUGCUUUUAAUCUCGACUGCUUGCGUUUGUAUGAGUUGGCUUUGACUAUGUUGGUUGAAAUUGAAAUAGACAACUAGACUUGCGUCCACCUUUUUGAGAGUUCUGUUAUUUUUUCAAACCAUAACCACGACAUGGCCCUUUGCUUGACAGUGUCGCUUGGCUGAUUGGUUGGGCACUGCUACUGGAAUACACAAUUGGUGGCUCAGCCGUAGCUCGUGGCAUAUCUCCUAACCUGGUCAGGAUUUUGUCAUAAAUCAAUAAGUUUUUCAAGAUUUCCUAGCAAGUUCAGAAUGGGUAGCAUUGUGUCCUUUUUAGUUCAUAGUUUAGAACUUUAGACUGCUUUUCUGCUGAGUAAGAUUUUGUGGGUUUGGUAUCUUGAUGAAUUUUAAUACAUGCCAGCAUUGUAUUUUGCUAACUGCUGAGCACUUCCGUAAGGAAAGAUUUGUUGGAUUAUUAUUUUUUAAAUAUCAGUGCUUUUACAUUUGACUUUAAGAUUGACUUUUUCUAGGCUCUGCUCUUUGGAGGAGCGGACAGUCUUCCUGCAUUUUUAGCUCGGCAGUACAUCCCUGGGCUUGAUAUAGUUGUAGAUCCAUGUGCUGCAGUUCUAGUAAUCAUUGUUACUGGGCUGUUAUGUGUGGGAAUAAAGGAGGUAAUCCCUCUUUCAGAUUAUUUUGAUGCCAAAAUGCCUCCAUGAGUUGUCAUUGACUGAACGUAUUCUUGCAGAGUACGCUGGCUCAAGGUAUCGUCACAACAGCUAAUGUGUGUGCUAUGAUUUUUGUCAUAUCAGCUGGCACUUAUCUAGGUUUCAAGACUGGGUGGCCUGGUUAUGAACUUCCUACUGGGUACUAAAACACUUCCUUUAUAUUCCCUUAUAGACAUCUUGCAAAGUAAGUUCCUGCGUGUAAUUAGUGUCUCUACAGAUACUUCCCCUUUGGGGUUGACGGGAUGCUUGCGGGCUCUGCAACUGUAUUCUUUGCAUAUAUUGGUUUUGACUCAGUUGCCAGCACAGCUGAAGAGGUAUGGAUCUUCGCUGCUCUAUCUUUUUGCCCUCUCAUGGAAUUCUGCCUUUUGUUUUAUUCUUGUCCCUUUCAGGUCCAAAAUUUAGUCAUCUUAUGUUACUUUUGUGACAGGUGAAGAACCCACAACGUGAUUUGCCUGUGGGUAUAGCUGCUGCAUUAUCAAUAUGUUGUGCGCUAUACAUGAUGGUAUCUGUAGUGGUUGUGGGUCUUGUACCUUAUUUUGCAAUGGACCCUGACACCCCCAUCUCCUCUGCAUUUGCAAGCCAUGGGAUGCAUUGGGCAGCGUAGGUGUAUAAUUUGCAUCAUAGUGCUUAUGGCAGCUUCUCCUUUGUUGGGGAUGCCAGACAUGCGCCCAGAUUUUCGUUCAUUAUGCUUGCUUCGGUGCAGGUACAUAAUCACAGCUGGAGCUGUUACUGCCCUCUGCUCUACACUGAUGGGCGCCAUUCUUCCUCAGGUAGACAGAUGAUGUGCUUUGGACUUUUUCUGUGGCCCAAUGCUUCCAGUUGUUGCUAUUACUUUACAAAGUUGUUAUUAUGUGAGAUUGAAUCUUUCUUCAUUUCAUCUGCAAUUGCCUUUUUUUAUUCUUCCCAAGAUGGUUUUAUAUGAUCUACUCUUUACUUUCUUCUAACCCCCCCCCCCCCCCCCCCUCAAAAAAAAAAAAGUCCUUUUUUUUUUUCUGCAUCUGACGCAUUUUUUUUUUUUUUAGCUAUAACUAAUGCAUUGAGAUUGGGAGUGUCAUUAGACAGGAUCUUUGGGUUCGCAGUUUCUUAUUUUUCAAGUGCGUGGAUGGGGAGAGUCAUCAUUUUGCCCAAAAACUGCUUUGCUCGUUGUUUCUCCGUAACACAGGAUUCUUAAUGAUAGCUUGAUUGGGGACCAUAGAAGAAAAAUUGUAUCUAAGGUUAAAGUUUGAAUUGUCCCCUCUUCUGGGCAUUCAUCAUAAUAUUAUAGCUGUAGAUUCAUAUAGAAGUAUCAGUUUUGGUGAAAAGGUAUCAUGCUUAAAAAGUUGAUACUUCCUUUAGGUAACUGGUUAUCUCUGUAUCAUACGAUUACCACCAACAGGAAAGUAUGUUACCUGUAUUUGGAUGCUAACUUUAUAUCAUACCCGCUUAAUGGAGUCCUGGUGCUUGUUGUUUUCACAUUUUAUGUAGUACUUUCACUAAUCUUUAACCUUCUAAAUCUGUAAUUUUCUUUCAGCCUCGGAUUCUCAUGGCAAUGGCGAGAGAUGGACUCCUGCCUGCUUUCUUUUCAGAUAUAAACAAGUCCACCCAAGUUCCUAUCAAGAGCACUAUUGUGACUGGUAUUGGGUCAGCAACACUGGCAUUCUUCAUGGAUGUGUCGCAGUUGGCUGGCAUGGUGAGUGUGGUUGAGUUUAGCCAAAAAUUGAGUAUUUACUUUUGCCUUGAUAAUGUCGAUAUAUAUGUACAUAAUAAUUUAUGAAUUCAGUCUUAAGCUAUGGCGGUGAUAUUCUAAAGAUCCUUUGCCAAAGUCGAUUUUGGUGUACUCUGUCGAGGAAAAAGGAAUUCAGAGACAAUGUCAUAGUUUACAGCAGAAGAUGUAAAUUACUACUGGUGUCUGUAAUCUGAUGAGUUUUCCUGUAUAUUACCCUUUUAGUCAGUUUAUUUAUGGUAACCUUGGCUCAUUAAUUAGAAAGUGGUGCUCUUUGUUAUACCUAUAGCACUCGCUGCUUUCUGAAAACAAGGCCAACUUGGACCGCUGAUGGAACUUAUCACAUGCUACAAAAGCAUUAUUAAUUAAAGUAGAAACAAAGAAUGAACUAGAUAAGAAUGCCUG